rnacentral:rRNA from 1 species
UUGAACGCUGGCGGCAGGCCUAACACAUGCAAGUCGAACGGUAACAGGAAACAGCUUGCUGUUUCGCUGACGAGUGGCGGACGGGUGAGUAAUGUCUGGGAAACUGCCUGAUGGAGGGGGAUAACUACUGGAAACGGUAGCUAAUACCGCAUAACGUCGCAAGACCAAAGAGGGGGACCUUCGGGCCUCUUGCCAUCGGAUGUGCCCAGAUGGGAUUAGCUAGUAGGUGGGGUAACGGCUCACCUAGGCGACGAUCCCUAGCUGGUCUGAGAGGAUGACCAGCCACACUGGAACUGAGACACGGUCCAGACUCCUACGGGAGGCAGCAGUGGGGAAUAUUGCACAAUGGGCGCAAGCCUGAUGCAGCCAUGCCGCGUGUAUGAAGAAGGCCUUCGGGUUGUAAAGUACUUUCAGCGGGGAGGAAGGGAGUAAAGUUAAUACCUUUGCUCAUUGACGUUACCCGCAGAAGAAGCACCGGCUAACUCCGUGCCAGCAGCCGCGGUAAUACGGGGGGUGCAAGCGUUAAUCGGAAUUACUGGGCGUAAAGCGCACGCAGGCGGUUUGUUAAGUCAGAUGUGAAAUCCCCGGGCUCAACCUGGGAACUGCAUCUGAUACUGGCAAGCUUGAGUCUCGUAGAGGGGGGUAGAAUUCCAGGUGUAGCGGUGAAAUGCGUAGAGAUCUGGAGGAAUACCGGUGGCGAAGGCGGCCCCCUGGACGAAGACUGACGCUCAGGUGCGAAAGCGUGGGGAGCAAACAGGAUUAGAUACCCUGGUAGUCCACGCCGUAAACGAUGUCGACUUGGAGGUUGUGCCCUUGAGGCGUGGCUUCCGGAGCUAACGCGUUAAGUCGACCGCCUGGGGAGUACGGCCGCAAGGUUAAAACUCAAAUGAAUUGACGGGGGCCCGCACAAGCGGUGGAGCAUGUGGUUUAAUUCGAUGCAACGCGAAGAACCUUACCUGGUCUUGACAUCCACAGAACUUUCCAGAGAUGGAUUGGUGCCUUCGGGAACUGUGAGACAGGUGCUGCAUGGCUGUCGUCAGCUCGUGUUGUGAAAUGUUGGGUUAAGUCCCGCAACGAGCGCAACCCUUAUCCUUUGUUGCCAGCGGUCCGGCCGGGAACUCAAAGGAGACUGCCAGUGAUAAACUGGAGGAAGGUGGGGAUGACGUCAAGUCAUCAUGGCCCUUACGACCAGGGCUACACACGUGCUACAAUGGCGCAUACAAAGAGAAGCGACCUCGCGAGAGCAAGCGGACCUCAUAAAGUGCGUCGUAGUCCGGAUUGGAGUCUGCAACUCGACUCCAUGAAGUCGGAAUCGCUAGUAAUCGUGGAUCAGAAUGCCACGGUGAAUACGUUCCCGGGCCUUGUACACACCGCCCGUCACACCAUGGGAGUGGGUUGCAAAAGAAGUAGGUAGCUUAACCUUCGGGAGGGCGCUUACCACUUUGUGAUUCAUGACUGGGGUG